AGUGAACGCUGGCGGUAGGCCUAACACAUGCAAGUCGAACGGCAGCACAGGAGAGCUUGCUCUCUGGGUGGCGAGUGGCGGACGGGUGAGGAAUACGUCGGAAUCUACUCUGUCGUGGGGGAUAACGUAGGGAAACUUACGCUAAUACCGCAUACGACCUACGGGUGAAAGCAGGGGACCUUCGAGCCUUGCGCGAUUGAAUGAGCCGAUGUCGGAUUAGCUAGUUGGCGGGGUAAAGGCCAACCAAGGCGACGAUCCGUAGCUGGUCUGAGAGGAUGAUCAGCCACACUGGAACUGAGACACGGUCCAGACUCCUACGGGAGGCAGCAGUGGGGAAUAUUGGACAAUGGGCGCAAGCCUGAUCCAGCCAUACCGCGUGGGUGAAGAAGGCCUUCGGGUUGUAAAGCCCUUUUGUUGGGAAAGAAAUCCAGCUGGCUAAUACCCGGUUGGGAUGACGGUACCCAAAGAAUAAGCACCGGCUAACUUCGUGCCAGCAGCCGCCGUAA
rnacentral:rRNA from 1 species